rnacentral:rRNA from 1 species
UGGGGAAUAUUGCACAAUGGAGGGAACUCUGCUGCAGCGACGCCGCGUGAACGAAGAAGGCUUUCGAGUCGUAAAGUUCUUUUAUAUGGGAAUAUAAUGACGGUACCAUAAGAAAAAGCCCCGGCUAACUACGUGCCAGCAGCCGCGGUAAUACGUAGGGGGCUAGCGUUGUCCGGAAUCACUGGGCGUAAAGGGUUCGCAGGCGGAAAUGCAAGUCAGGUGUAAAAGGCAGUAGCUUAACUACUGUAAGCAUUUGAAACUGCAUAUCUUGAGAAGAGUAGAGGUAAGUGGAAUUUUUAGUGUAGCGGUGAAAUGCGUAGAUAUUAAAAAGAAUACCGGUGGCGAAGGCGACUUACUGGGCUCAUUCUGACGCUGAGGAACGAAAGCGUGGGUAGCAAACAGG